rnacentral:rRNA from 1 species
GUCCACGCCUUAAACGUUUAAUACUCGAUGUGUGCGAUAUACAGUACGCGUCUAAGCGAAAGUGAUAAGUAUUCCACCUGGGGAGUACGCUCGCAAGGGUGAAACUCAAAGGAAUUGACGGGGCCCGCACAAGCGGAGGAGCAUGUGGUUUAAUUCGAUGAUACGCGAGGAACCUUACCUGGGCUUGAAAGUUAGUGACCGAUUGUGAAAGCAGUCUUUCCGCAAGGACACGAAACUAGGUGCUGCAUGGCUGUCGU